AGAGUUUGAUCCUGGCUCAGGAUGAAUGCUGGCGGCGUGCCUAACACAUGCAAGUCGAGCGGCAGCGGGUUCUGCACUAUCAACUUGAAGCCUGGACGCGGUGAUUUCCAAGGGAAAUCAGCCGUAUCAUUUCGAAAGGAGUGAAUGUCUGGGGUGAUUUCAAACUGAUAGUGCAGAAUGUCGGCGAGCGGCGAACGGCUGAGUAACGCGUAGGAAUUUGCCCCAAAGUGAGGGAUAACUGCCCGAAAGGGUAGCUAAUACCGCAUAUGGUCUUCGGAUUAAAGGAUUUAUCCGCUUUGGGAGAAGCCUGCGUUGGAUUAGGUAGUUGGUAGGGUAAUGGCCUACCAAGCCGACGAUCCAUAGCUGGUCUGAGAGGAUGAUCAGCCAGACUGGAACUGAGACACGGUCCAGACUCCUACGGGAGGCAGCAGUGAGGAAUCUUCCACAAUGGGCGAAAGCCUGAUGGAGCAACGCCGCGUGAAGGAUGAAGGCCUUCGGGUUGUAAACUUCUUUUAUGAGUGAAGAAUAUGACGGUAACUCAUGAAUAAGCACCGGCUAACUACGUGCCAGCAGCCGCGGUCAUACGUAGGGUGCAAGCAUUAUCCGGAGUGACUGGGCGUAAAGAGUUGCGUAGGCGGUUUAAUAAGUGAAUAGUGAAACCUGGUGGCUCAACCAUACAGACUAUUAUUCAAACUGUUAAACUCGAGAGUAGUAGAGGUAACUGGAAUUUCUAGUGUAGGAGUGAAAUCCGUAGAUAUUAGAAGGAACACCGAUGGCGUAGGCAGGUUACUGGGCCAUUUCUGACGCUAAGGCACGAAAGCGUGGGGAGCGAACCGGAUUAGAUACCCGGGUAGUCCACGCCGUAAACGAUGGAUACUAGCUGUUGGAGGUAUCGACCCCUUCAGUAGCGAAGCUAACGCGUUAAGUAUCCCGCCUGUGGAGUACGGCCGCAAGGCUAAAACAUAAAGGAAUUGACGGGGAC
rnacentral:rRNA from 1 species